CAGCAGCCGCGGUAAUACGUAGGUGGCAAGCGUUGUCCGGAAUUAUUGGGCGUAAAGGGCUCGCAGGCGGUUUCUUAAGUCUGAUGUGAAAGCCCCCGGCUCAGCCGGGGAGGGUCAUUGGAAACUGGGAAACUUGAGUGCAGAAGAGGAGAGUAGAAUUCCACGUGUAGCGGUGAAAUGCGUAGAGAUGUGGAGGAACACCAGUGGCGAAGGCGACUCUCUGGUCUGUAACUGACGCUGAGGAGCGAAAGCGUGGGGAGCGAACAGGAUUAGAUACCCCAGUAGUCCCUGUCUCUUAUAC
rnacentral:rRNA from 1 species